UUUUGGUCGAAUAAUUGGAAUGAGUACAAUUUAAAUCCCUUAACGAGGAUCAAUUGGAGGGCAAGUCUGGUGCCAGCAGCCGCGGUAAUUCCAGCUCCAAUAGCGUAUAUUAAAGUUGCUGCAGUUAAAAAGCUCGUAGUUGGAUUUCUGACAUUAAUGCGCUUGGCCCGCUCCGGUUACGGAUGUGAGUGCCNAGUCGUGUUUGUCAUCCUUCUAGAAAAUGUUAGUUUGCUCUUCAUUGAGUUUAAUUAUCACGAUCUAGAUCUUUUACUUUGAAAAAAUUAGAGUGUUUAAAGCAGGCGUUUGCUAUGAAUACAUUAGCAUGGAAUAAUAAUUUAGGACUUUGGUUCUAUUUUGUUGGUUUCUAGAACUGAAGUAAUGAUUGAUAGGGAUGGUUGGGGGUGCUCGUAUUCAGUGGCCAGAGGUGAAAUUCUCGGAUUCACUGAAGACGAACUUAUGCGAAAGCAUUCACCAAGGAUGUCUUCUUUAAUCAAGAACGAAAGUUGGGGGAUCGAAGACGAUCAGAUACCGUCGUAGUCUCAACUAUAAACUAUGCCGACUAGGGAUGAGUGAACGUUGCAUUUUCGACUUCAUUUGCACCUUAUGAGAAAUCAAAGUCUUUGGGUUCCGGGGGGAGUAUGGUCGCAGGCUGAAACUUAAAGGAAUU
rnacentral:rRNA from 1 species